UACGUGUCCAACGGUAAGACAGUGGCGGCGUCGAUAGUGGGUUUUAAAACUGCGUUUGAUGAGGUUGUAGGGGAAUGGGGGAAUGUAUCUGAUGGAGAGUGACAGACAAGUAGUUGAUAGCCGGAGUCGAGCACCAUGGAGUUUGUCAUCAAUAAUUCAGUUUUUCUGGGGAAUAGUGGAGUUUAUUUCUUUUUUCUUUAGGACAUUGUUCAACCCAGCUGGAGCUGAAUAUAAAAGAACUGGAAGUCAGUCAUCCUGGGGUAGACCUGACGAUGGAAGAGGCCCUCCAGGAGUUCCACGGAGAAAGAUGGGUCGAAUAAACCAUGGUGGAGGAGGUCCUGCACCACCACCGAUGUCUGGAGGAUGAGGAAGGUAAAUGCCUGCUUUCCAAAGCAGGCAGUUGGACAUGCGUUCACAAAGUGACGUGCAAGAAUACCAAGAAGAUGGGAAAACUGGAAAGACCAGUUUGUAGAAGUGAUGUGAAUGUGCUUGUCCACCCAGAAGAGUUGCUCAGUGUUAGACAUGCUGAUUAAUGAUGUUGUGCUUGGAAUACCUGAAUUUAUAGGCACUGGCACAAUUGAAAAGCAACUGUGCAACGUCUUUGAGUUUAAUAAAAUUGACUUUUCAAGCAUUCCUUUCAAAGUUAUGUUGAAUAAUCCUAUAUCCUAGGUCUAGGUACUAGUAAAUUAUUUUAAAUGUCUUGCUUUUCAAAUUUAAAAUACCUAGUUUCAAUAUUGGAGCAGAAGCACUUAAUAACAGAGCAGAGAAAGUAGGAACUGCCGAUGCUGGAGAAUCUGAGAUAACAAGGUGUAGAGCUGGAUGAACACAGCAGGCCGAGCAGGAAAGCUGACGUUUCGGGUCUGGACCCUUUUCUGAAGAAGGGUUCAGACCCAAAAUGUCAGCUUGCCUGCUGUGUUCAUCCAGCUGUACACCUUGUUAUCUCUAAUAACAGAGCAGUAUUUGUUUUGGCUAUAUGUUUAACAUUGGUUCAAUCUUGCCUUUAUGUUUAAUGGUUUCCUGGUCAAUCUACUGAGAAAUUCACAGAAUUAAUAUCCAUUUGCCUAACAUAAUUGUUUGGAAAGAAUCAAGUCGUAAAAAUCUUUCUUUGCAAAAAGUGGCACUGGAGUUUAGUUUAAAAAUAGACUUUAUUAAUAUAGAACACUGGUAAACUUCCUGAUGGGAUCCCUGUUGGCCAUAAGAAUAGUCACCAACCUUUUUCAGACAGUUAUUAAGCAGUUGGGCUUCUGAUGGCAGAAACAAUAGAUGUGGAUCUGCUUCUUCAAGGAUAUGGUGACUGGCAUAACUCAUCAAGUUGUGGAAGGUACUGUCACCAUUUCCAGAUCAUGGAAGGACUUGCACCAUUAUUUAUAUGUUUGUUAUGCAAAAGGGCUAAAAGAAUAACCUCUCGUUCAGGAGAUUUUCUUAGACCCCUUGAAUUUGUUCAGAAAAAAAACAUUUCUAUUGAUACUCCAGAAAGAGAACAUUUCUGUUAAGAUUCUCAAAGGAGGAACAAAUUGUUAAAUCUCCAAAUCAAUGUGAUUGUCUUGCUUCUUUUUUUUUUAAAACCUGGUGGGGCAUAAAAUCUCCAACAAGCUAGCUUUUUCUGCAGCAUGAUCUUUGGAGUCUCUGUAUUCCCAUAAACACAACAGACAAAUUGUCUAUUUUUUUGCAUCGGUUUGCCAUCCUUUAUCAGAAUCAUAUGCCAACAUUGGAUCAAUUUUCACAAAUAAGGUAAUAGUACCUAUCUCUCUCUCCUCCACUUCUCUCAGUCCUCAGUUUCUGGAUAAGCAGUAAUUUUCUUGAGUCAAACUUUGGGAGGACUGAAGCUAUUGUCUUCAGGCCCAACCCAAAAUCCAUAGCCUUGUCACAAAGUUCAGUCUCCUGCUAGCUACUGUCUCAGGCUAAAUCAAUUUUGGCACAUUGCCCUGUUCACUCCAGUUGUGCUUCAUCGUUCAAACUCUCUAUCAGAAAAAUUGCUGCAAAAAUAUUUUCAUUUAAAAUAUUCUUAUUUAAAAUGUCAACAGUAUGCUUUGCUUUAGAACUUUAGCCAGAGGGGAAAUGUAGAAGAGAGGAAACAUUGUUCAUUCACUGAGGCAAGAUUCAAAGAUUGUCUGUCUUCUGUGAUUCCAAAAUUUGAUAAAUUCCCAGAGAUUAGGAGGCAGUUACUAAGGUACCACAUACUGCAGGAAAAGAUAGCAGUGAGAUGAUGCUUCAGCAGUCCAAAAUUUUUAAAAAGUGAAAAUGUAUUAAACAAAUAUUGGGGGGGAAAAGAUGGUGAACAUGGUUGAACACUUCAUUUCAUGGCCUCAGCACGUAUUCUGUCUAGAUGCAGCCUCAGGUAGCCAAGCAGUAUAAGAAGGGGUCUGUACUCUCAAAUUUAGUGUUCUUCAGACAGAUAGAAGUGCAUUUGCCAUGAUGACCAUACAAGUUCCAAGUCUGAUCAUCUUGAACAAUACAAUCUUUUUACACAUAACGUAUUGGUUGCUCACCUUUUAAUCUAAUAUUAUAGAACAAUUGUACAAAAAUACUGCUUCUGUUAAUCAUUGAUUCAAUCAUUUCACAAGAAAUCCACUAUAAACCCCAUAUUUCCUCUCAAGUAAGAGCCUGCCUGUAUCUCUACCUGCGCACAUCUGUUGCUGGUUCCUGUAGGUUCAACUAUUUUGAUGUUUUCCUAGUCGAUUGUGCAACCUUUAUCCGCUAUGAAUGUCUGUGCAAAAUGUGUUCACCUAACAUUUGCUUCCAGAUUUAACGUUUUCGUCACUGUGUUUGAUCUCCUCCUGAUCCUUACUCAAUAAUCAUAUCCAACUCUACAAUACUCACAAACACCUUAUUUCUUUUACCUACUUUGCUUCUCUUUGCCUCAGCUGUGUUUACUGCUGUCUGUGAAUUUCCUUAUUUAAAACCCAUUCUCUCUGGUCUUAAGACCUGGCUUAAACUCUGUCUCUUUCACUUAUGAUGGAUGCCAAGAUCAAAUUGUAUCUCUGAAGAGCCUAGGAUGUCUUUCUAUGUUAGUGGCACAAUGUAAGUGCAAGUUUUUGUUUUAUAUUUUAAAUGUAAAUAAAUUGGACUCAUUAUUUUAGCCUGAA